AGCUCCAAUAGCGUAUAUUAAAAUUGCUGCGGUUAAAACGCUCGUAGUUGGAUUUCUGCUAAGGAGUUCCGGUCCUUCCUAGUGAAGAAUACGCGGGGCUCUCCUUAGCCUUUUUUCAGGGAAGGUUUAUGCACUUUGUUGUGUGUCACACGAUCUGGAUUUUUACUUUGAGGAAAUGAGAGUGUUUCAAGCAGGCAUUUGCCGUGAAUAUGAUAGCAUGGAAUAAUAGCACAGGACCACUUUCCAAAGCUGUUGGUUUUUGGAACGAGGCAAUCAGAAUAAGGAUAGUUGGGGGUAUUCGUAUUUAACUGUCAGAGGUGAAAUUCUUGGAUUUUUUAACGACGAACUAUUGCGAAGGCAUCUGCCCAGGAUGUUUUUG
rnacentral:rRNA from 1 species